GUACACUCCUGCGGGAGGCAGCAGUGGGGAAUAUUGGACAAUGGGCGCAAGCCUGAUCCAGCCAUGCCGCGUGAGUGAUGAAGGCCCUAGGGUUGUAAAGCUCUUUCACCGGUGAAGAUAAUGACGGUAACCGGAGAAGAAGCCCCGGCUAACUUCGUGCCAGCAGCCGCGGUAAUACGAAGGGGGCUAGCGUUGUUCGGAUUUACUGGGCGUAAAGCGCACGUAGGCGGACUAUUAAGUCAGGGGUGAAAUCCCGGGGCUCAACCCCGGAACUGCCUUUGAUACUGGUAGUGUUGAGUUCGAGAGAGGUGAGUGGAAUUCCGAGUGUAGAGGUGAAAUUCGUAGAUAUUCGGAGGAACACCAGUGGCGAAGGCGGCUCACUGGCUCGAUACUGACGCUGAGGUGCGAAAGCGUGGGGAGCAAACAGGAUUAGAAACCCGAGUAGUCCCAUGA
rnacentral:rRNA from 1 species